GCAUGUGGUUUAAUUCGAAGCAACGCGAAGAACCUUACCAAAUCUUGACAUCCUUUGACAACUCUAGAGAUAGAGCCUUCCCCUUCGGGGGACAAAGUGACAGGUGGUGCAUGGUUGUCGUCAGCUCGUGUCGUGAGAUGUUGGGUUAAGUCCCGCAACGAGCGCAACCCUUAAGCUUAGUUGCCAUCAUUAAGUUGGGCACUCUAAGUUGACUGCCGGUGACAAACCGGAGGAAGGUGGGGAUGACGUCAAAUCAUCAUGCCCCUUAUGAUUUGGGCUACACACGUGCUACAAUGGACAAUACAAAGGGCAGCGAAACCGCGAGGUCAAGCAAAUCCCAUAAAGUUGUUCUCAGUUCGGAUUGUAGUCUGCAACUCGACUACAUGAAGCUGGAAUCGCUAGUAAUCGUAGAUCAGCAUGCUACGGUGAAUACGUUCCCGGGUCUUGUACACACCGCCCGUCACACCACGAGAGUUUGUAACACCCGAAGCCGGUGGAGUAACCUUUUAGGAGCUAGCCGUCGAAGGUGGGACAAAUGAUUGGGGUGAAGUCGUAACAAGGUAGCCGUAUCGGAAGGUGCGGCUGGAUCACCUCCUUUCUAAGGA
rnacentral:rRNA from 1 species